UUAAAAUUCAAUAUUUAAAUUAUUUUUAUCUUCAUCAUCCUUAUCAGCAACACCGCCAUCGACAUCAGUAUUAUCAUCAUUACCAACAUUCCAUCAUGAUGUCUUCCGAAUCGCCAUAGGCCUAAACAUUUUUAUAAUCAUAAUAAUCACCAGUUGGUGGAUAUAAUAUGAAUUAUUAUGCAACGAAAACAUUCUUAUGUCUGGUGCAUAGUUCUAAUAAUUUGUUGUUCAACUCAAUUAAGCUUUUAAUUUUUUGUCUUAUUCAAUAGGUUGAAAAUGACCAGGGAUGCCAUAUUUCUAAGAAACUUUAUUAUGCAAUGACUUUCAAAAUAAAUCAGAUUUUUCUAAAAUGAUUUCUAGGGAACAAAGUACAUUUUUCUUGUCAAAUCACUCGCUCUAUUCAUCUGUGUUUCAAUCAAUCACAAAAUCCAAGUAAUAAGAUGAGACAUAUUUUUUGGUUAUUUUAAUGACUUUGAUGAGUUCUCGAAGUUGUAAUCGAUCAGAAGAUGGGAUAUUUCACCCGUCCUACUUCUCUGUCUUCACAUCAAUUUUCCUAAUAGUGUGAAGAAAGAGUGAGCGCUGGUCUAUGCGAUUGGUGAUUAUCAUACGACUAAUGAUAGACUGCGAUAUAUUCACCGAUGAAAAACAACGCGCGAUUUCGAAUUGAGAAUAUUAGCGGCGGUACAAAAGAAAAUUUCUUAAUAAUGAAAAUUAUAUGAAAAAAAAAAUCACCAGACAGGUAUGAAAUCCAAAAACAGCAAUCUGCAGAUUUAAGAUUGAGGCGGCUACUGUUUCAUGUUCUGCCGCCUAUAUAAAAUUAAAUAGUAAUGUUUCGAUCGUUUGCAACAUAACAUUCCUUAGCUUGUUAGAAAAUAAAGUUUGGAGUUUCCUUUCAUUGUUCAAAAACUAGUAGCGAUGCAUACAUAGUUCGUUGAAAAGUCGAUUUGUUGGAUUGCGAUUAUUUUAAAGUAUUUUCAGUGUGUUUGUAUUUAUAUUUAACUGUUUGCUUUCAUUUUUUUCGUUGUAGUGGUAAAGCGUAUGUUUAUUUAUCUUGGACUAUCAGUGUUUGCCGGCACAUUAUUGAAUUUAAUUCACCAUCAAAUUUACUCUCUAAUAUGCUUUAUCAAUACACCGUCAGGUUAGAGCCUUAAUCAACACGUCAUAUCUGUGAAGCAGUUUGAUGUCGUGGCCUAAAAUAAGUGUUCGGAUUACGGAUGAAGUGUAGAGAGAUUCAUAGAGUUUGAUUUAGGUUUUACAUGAACACCCUUUCAAUUGACAAAGACUCAGCUUACUUAAUAUCGAAGUUUUGAGGGUAGAUUAUGGGAUCAGACCUUAAGUAAGCAUGUUUAGGUGUUGAAUUUGAAUGAAGAACAAACACUCUAUACUUCUGACAUACAGUACAUUGUUCCAAAUAAUGAAAUUACUGAUCUCCACACUGCCAGAAAGGAUAUCCAAAAAUUAUCAACUACAUUCAUUGUGAGUAUUUUAAUUCGUGUGAGUUGGUUGGUGCGAGGCCAGGGAGUAUCCAUUUGAGGUAGAAUGACUAAUCGUACUUCGAAGAAACAAUUGGCAUACUUCGAGAAUUGGGACAAGGUUCGUCAAGUGUCUAGCAAUAUCAUUGCACGAUAGCCGGGAUUUCGGAAUCAUCUUAGUGAUAUUUGUUCCUGGAUUAAUUCAUUACAUCAUUGUUCUUUAGUCAAUAUUACAAUGUUAAUGUAAAUAGUUCGAUUGUAUGUACAAUAUUUACUAUAAUAGUGCUCUAAACUAAUAAAUUGAUAAAUUAUUAUUAUUAUAUUUAUAAUCAA